GACGAACGCUGGCGGCGUGCUUAACACAUGCAAGUCGAACGAUGAAGAAGAGAAACGCGAACUUCGGUUCAAAUUUCACUUCGGAUUAGUGGCAGACGGGUGAGUAACGCGUGAGCAACCUACCUCUUACAAAGGGAUAGCCUCGGGAAACCGUGAUUAAUACCAUAUGACACAUUCAUAAGGCAUCUUAAGAAUGUUAAAGCUACGGCGGUAAGAGAUGGGCUCGCGUCCCAUUAGCUGGUGGGUGAGGUAACGGCCCAUCAAGGCGACGAUGGGUAACCAGGCUGAGAGGGUGAACGGUCACAUUGGAACUGAGACACGGUCCAAACUCCUACGGGAGGCAGCAGUGGGGAAUAUUGCACAAUGGAGGGAACUCUGAUGCAGCGACGCCGCGUGAGCGAUGAAGGAAUUAGUUUCGUAAAGCUCUGUUCUAUGGGAAGAAAAGGACUGUACCAUAGGAGAAAGCCCCGGCUAAAUACGUG
rnacentral:rRNA from 1 species